rnacentral:rRNA from 1 species
UACGGGGGGGGCAAGCGUUGUUCCGAAUUACUGGGCGUAAAGGGCUCGUAGGUGGCCAACUAAGUCAGACGUGAAAUCCCUCGGCUUAACCGGGGAACUGCGUCUGAUACUGGAUGGCUUGAGUUUGGGAGAGGGACGCGGAAUUCCAGGUGUAGCGGUGAAAUGCGUAGAUAUCUGGAGGAACACCGGUGGCGAAGGCGGCGUCCUGGACCAACACUGACACUGAGGAGCGAAAGCCAGGGGAGCAAACGGG